rnacentral:rRNA from 2 species
CGUAUCACCCAAGACAACUUUACGGAGUUGACGAUUGACGGAGCGAAGCGACGUCAAAGCGUUCAUUAAAGUCGAGUUGGCUUAGGGAUACGUUCGUUGGGUAGGGGAGCGUUCUGUAAGCCUGUGAAGGUGUGUCGUGAGGCAUGCUGGAGGUAUCAGAAGUGCGAAUGCUGACAUAAGUAACGAUAAAGCGGGUGAAAAGCCCGCUCGCCGGAAGACCAAGGGUUCCUGUCCAACGUUAAUCGGGGCAGGGUGAGUCGACCCCUAAGGCGAGGCCGAAAGGCGUAGUCGAUGGGAAACGGGUUAAUAUUCCCGUACUUGGUGUUACUGCGAAGGGGGGACGGAGAAGGCUAUGUUGGCCGGGCGACGGUUGUCCCGGUUUAAGCGUGUAGGUGUGUGUUCCAGGUAAAUCCGGUUCACUUUAACACUGAGGCGUGACGACGAGGCACUACGGUGCUGAAGCAACAAAUGCCCUGCUUCCAGGAAAAGCCUCUAAGCAUCAGGUAACAUCAAAUCGUACCCCAAACCGACACAGGUGGUCAGGUAGAGAAUACCAAGGCGCUUGAGAGAACUCGGGUGAAGGAACUAGGCAAAAUGGUGCCGUAACUUCGGGAGAAGGCACGCUGACACGUAGGUGAAGUGAUUUACUCAUGGAGCUGAAGUCAGUCGAAGAUACCAGCUGGCUGCAACUGUUUAUUAAAAACACAGCACUGUGCAAACACGAAAGUGGACGUAUACGGUGUGACGCCUGCCCGGUGCCGGAA